GGGGCUAUAGCUCAGUCGGUUAGAGCGCAUCCCUGAUAAGGAUGAGGCCACAGGUUCAAAUCCUGUUAGCCCCA
rnacentral:tRNA from 2 species